UCCCUCCUAGAAUCGAACCUGGAGAGUUUCCAGUACUCUACCAGUCUUGGCUACCAAAGGGAGAGUCAAGGAGACGAAUACCCAUUCCAUUCCUAGCUUGGGCAGUGGCUAGUGAAUGGAAGGAAAUCUGUUACAAGU